rnacentral:rRNA from 1 species
UAGGGAAUAUUGCACAAUGGGGGAAACCCUGAUGCAGCGACGCCGCGUGAAGGAUGAAGUAUUUCGGUAUGUAAACUUCUAUCAGCAAGGAAGAAAAUGACGGUACUUGACUAAGAAGCCCCGGCUAAAUACGUGCCAGCAGCCGCGGUAAUACGUAUGGGGCAAGCGUUAUCCGGAUUUACUGGGUGUAAAGGGAGCGUAGGCGGUAUGGCAAGUCAGAAGUGAAAGCCUGGGGCUCAGCCCCGGAAUUGCUUUUGAAACUGUCAAACUAGAGUGUCGGAGGGGUAAGCGGAAUUCCUAGUGUAGCGGUGAAAUGCGUAGAUAUUAGGAGGACACCGGUGGCGAAGGCGGCUUACUGGACGACCACUGACGCUGAGGCUCGAAAGCGUGGGGAGCAAACAGGAUUAGAUACCCUGGUAGU